GAGCACAGCCUCCCAGGAGAGCCCACCUUCUCACAAAGGAGAGCUCAGGGGAGACGGAGACUCCAGAAGUGCCCUCCUGCUGCAAACACAGGCAGGGCAAAAUUAAAGGCACAGAAAACAGAGCAGCUCAUCAGACAAAGAAAGGCCCGCAACUGUGACAGCUCCUCAGAUUUUCACGAGAACAGGGAGCUGAAUUAAGUAGCACUGAUUCAGCUCAUGGCUGGAGGCGGCUGGGAGCACGUCCCAAGGAGGGGAAUGACAGACGCACAGCACACAGCACUGCCAGACGGGGAUACACACGACACCGCUGACGGGAGAGGACCCAGAGGGGAAGCCCCGGUCCACCCUCACUGCACGGAAGCAAGCUGGAGACGGGGGAGAGGAGACGGGCGGUCGGCGAGAGGGCCCUCAUCAUUUUAAAACGCAGGUGGUAAUCGUGUGAUAACAGUAACACUGUCGGAAACCAGAGGGACAACCGGACGUCCCCUGGAAACAGAAAGAAAUAGGGAUGCUGCGCUCCCCACCCCCCGCAGGGCAUCCUCUCCCCGGGGCAGGUGCCUCUGGGAGCACGUGUCACACGUGGGAGGAAGCAUGUGGCACACACGCAGGGAACCACGCACAUCACCCGCGAGAAGACCUGUGUCUCACGUGUGGGAGGAAACAUACUCUAUGUGAGGGGAAGCACUGUCAUGUGUGAGAGGAACACACGUGUGAUGUGAGAAGAACAGGCGUGCAUGUUUGAGAUGAAACAUGCACGCCGAGCGUGGGGGCUGUUUCCGGCGGCACGGGUGUCCAUGCACGCGGCCUGGCCCCCCUGCUCCCUCUCGCCUCUCCCUUCCCCCUGGGCUCCCUCCCCGGGGAUGCGCCGAAGUACUUUGAAAACACAGGCCCACCGGCAAGUGACACAACUCAUCGCAGCCUGAAGGCCUCAGCUCAGACGCCCCCUUCUCUGUGACGGUGGCUCUGACGCCACCAGGAAGAAACGGGUGUCCUUCUGGCCACGUGCCCCUCUGCCUGGACCUCUCCUCAGUGUCACUGCAAUUAUCUGCACAUCUAUGUCGCCGCAUCACUGGAAGCUGAACUCGGGGCACAAAUGUCUCUGUUCCUUCUGUGGGUCUCACACCUAACACAGUGAGAGGAAUCAGUCCUGUCACCACACUGAAUAAGCACCGCUGAGCAAAUGAAUGAAUGCGUGAGUGAGUGGAUGAAUGACUGUCCCAACAAGGCCGCGUUCCUUCCCAGAAACAGAAAAGAAACACCAGCAGGUCAGAAACACUCUUUCUUUCCUAUCGUCUGGAUUCACAGUCAGAAGACCACCACAGGUGAAGAGUGUGAAGAGAAAGUUAUAAACCUCAGCCUCCGCCCUUUAAUUCAACUGUGGCCAGAGAAAAAUAACUGAAGCCAGAGGCUACAAGCCUGAAUCAGCAGCUUAAUGAGGACUUUGAAAGGAGAGGGCCGGCAGAGGACACAGUGGUUCUGCGCCUAGCACUCAAGGAGCCUCACACACUGGAGGAUGCAGCAGAGGUUACCAAGAGUUACACACUUGUGACCAUUAACUACCGAACUUUUCUGGACCUUACCUUUGGAAAGUUGGAUUUCUAAGACGGAUUUUUAAGAAGAACCAAAGUCUCUCAUCUAAUAUGAAAAUGUUUCUUUCACUAGGCCCACGGACCGAUGGCCCGUAUUCUAAAAGCCAGGACUGUUCCCAUAGAGAGUACAUUUGAUAAACAGGCAUAUGGAGCCGUAAACUAUGUUUGUCAGGAGGCUGAUGUCCCCCCUGGCUUAGAUAAUUAUGAUCCACUAUGACAGGGCCACAUAAGAGGUGCUCCCUGACACUGGUUAGCAAUGCAGAUGCUUGGGCCCACCCCCGAGAUUAUCUUGCUUCAAAAAGGAUUUCAGGAAGAUUAAAGCACUUUAUGUCA